GACGAACCGUGCGAACGUUAUUCGGAAUCACUGGGCUUAAAGCGCGUGUAGGUGGAUCGGAACGUCGGUCGCUGAAAUCCCCCGGCUUAACCGGGGAACGGGCGCCGAAACGACCGGUCUGGAGGAACGUAGGGGGAGCUGGAACUUCCGGUGGAGCGGUGAAAUGCGUUGAGAUCGGAAGGAACGCCCGUGGCGAAAGCGAGCUCCUGGACGUUUACUGACACUGAGACGCGAAAGCCAGGGGAGCGAACGGG
rnacentral:rRNA from 1 species